AGCCCUGAGGGGAGCCGGUGCUGAGCUUCAGGGUGGAAGACGUAAAGAACCAACCCUCACUGUUUGUGGACAAUCCGCCAGGAAGUCUUUGAUCCAGUCACAAGUGAAGGGAGGGAAAUUCAGCACAGUCGUUAAAGCAACACCUGAAAUUAUGAUGGGUACUGCAAGGAAAGAGUGACCUGAAAUUUCUACAAUAAGGGAAGAGCUCCACAUAGCCUUAGCAGUUUCAAAGAGAGGUAUUGAUGCAGAAGAGGUUUCCUUCCAUUCUAAAAACCAAACCUCAUUGAUUUGUAGUACUUAUCUUUGGGAUGAAUGAUAAAAGUAAUCUAUGCUAAAUGGCUGUAUGAAAGUCAUUAUUUAAAAUGUAUACACAAUAAAACAUACCAAAUUCUUCUGAUGCAU